GUACCGAUUUCUUGGAACUUAAAACCGUUAGCGAAUUGUCAUCGUCGCUUUUCAACCACUUCCCUCCGCCCGCUGACGUGUCAGUCAGACGCGUAGGUGGCGUAAGUCGCGCGGUUGUGGAGUAAUACAUGUCAUGUGACAAAAAUCGUGAAAAAAUGCCUACUGAUUAUAAAAGAAAGACUGACAGAGGUAUGGCGAGUCGCGAAAUAUAUGAUCUAGCAGCAGAAGAAGUAACUUUGCGACAGAAAAGUCUCCGUGACGCGGCUUCGAGUUACAACCUGAACCAUACUUCCCUCUAUAGGUAUAUUAAAAAAAAAACUGCUUAUGAAGCUAACGAAAUCGCAACUUCUCCAACGGUUGGAUAUCCCGAAAAAACUGUUUUUACAGCUUCAGAGGAGAAGAUACUCUGUGACUAUCUUUUAAACUGCGCUGCUGCUAACUUUGGCCUAAAAACUAAGGAAGCCAGAAGUUUUGCCUAUAGAUUGGCUGUAGAAUAUAAUAAAAAAAAUCCUUCUUCUUGGACUGAGCAUGAAAUGGGUGCAGUGUUUGGAAUGCAAAAACCGGGCUCAUGAAGCUUGCACUGGUGGGGAACUUUCGUAUGUUUGCCGCAACUGCUUGUCAGAUUGACGUUUUUUAUUUUUAUUUUUGAAAUUUGUGAGAUUAUUGAUACUUAAAUAUUUGAAGAAAUAUUAAUCAAGACUGAUUGUUAUACUUAAGACUACUUACUUUAAUAAAUACCUUAAAUUAUA